AGGGCGAGCGAGGCAGAUGCGCAGUGAGAGAGCGACAGCAGGAGGAAAAACGAGAGCAAGAAGGGAGGGGGGGGUGAAGCAGACAGGAUUAGAGUUCAAGUGCACGUGAAGAAAAUGGCCUGAAAAGACGGCGGCCGAGCAGGAAAAGGACCCUCUUCCGUCUUUCUUCCUUUCCCCGUUGCGCUGCGAAGGAAGAAAUGAAAAAGAGGAAAAGAAUCAUAUAUUCCCUCUUUCCGCCUCCUCCUUUGCCUCCUCCCUCUCUGCUGGAUAUUCCUCUCUCGCUCUCGUUUUCACUCUCUCUCCCCUCCCACCUCCCGACACAUUUCUUCUCCUCACUCCUUCCUUCCACUCACGCUUUCUUACUAUACCACUUUUCCCCCGCGCGACAGGCUUUUUUUUUUUUCUCCCCUUUCUCCCGGCGAGGUAGGGCGAGCUUGGAUGCGCCGCGUUCCAUUCGAUUAUCGCCCCGCCGCCGUGAGAGAGAUUCCUGCCUUGUGAGGCUGGGGAGAGGGUAAAAUGGAGAGCGUGGUCAUGCGGGAGAAAGAGGAGAAAGUACCGGCACUGUCCGAGGAAAAAUGAGAGGGAGGAGAGGAACGAGGGUUGACGACUGGGUAGAAAUCUGAAAAAAUCGCGGGAAAAAGGGGGGGGAAAAAAACUCAAGGAACGCACUCGCUUCUUCUUCUGUGGUGACCAUCUCGUUCAUCUAUUCAACCACUUUCAAGAAGGGAUUUGUAUCAGGAAUGCGGCCCUCGAGCAGAGGACGGCCAUGGGAAAGUCCGUGAAAGAUGGACGCUGCUCACCAGGUAGAUUGCUCAAAUUUAUGUUUAAGAAAAAAAAAAUCAUAACGCCAUAAACCCUUGAUGGCUGAAUUUACUUGUAAUGUAAUUUUCGGACUAUAAGCCGCUACUUUUUUCCUUCUUUUUGAAUCCUGCGGCUUAUAGUCCAGCGCAGGUUAUUCGUUAAUUUAUUUUGGUUAAUAGGUAACACUUUAUUUGACAGCGGCGUCAUAAAACGGUCGUAAGACUGUCAUAAUUAUGACAUGACACUAUCAUGGGCAUUACUGAAUGCUUAUGACAGGUGUCGCGAAGGCUAGGUUCAUACUACAGGUCUUAAUGCACGAAUCCAAUUUUUUCGUGUUUUUCCGGCUCGAGUCAGGCAUUAAAGUGCUUGUGACACGAAAAAGCAUGUUUAUUUCAUAAUACACGCGGUAUUUUAUGCUCCUGAAUGAUAUGGACCGCUUGGAUGUGUGUGGAAGCGAUCGCUAUAUUUAUUUAGUUUUUUGAAUCCCGCGCCAGGAAAAUGAGUGACUUCCGGCUUCGGUCUCGCAUUGAGGAGGAGGGCGCUGUGACGUGUACGGUAGAAGACGUCCUCUUCACGCUACAGUGUACUGUUGUGUAUGAGGACGAAGGAUUCAGCUGAUUUUGCGGAUUAAUACUUUUAUUUUUUGCAUCACGCCAGCCAAACGGCUGCAGAAAAAUCAUUCUGUAUGCGGGAGAGGCGUAUGCGCCUUUUUGGAGUUUCAAAAGGUUCCCAUUCACCGUGGAUAUUUACUGUGGGACCAUUGGACUUACAAGGAAGUGAGUAAACAUCUUGUUUUGUAUUAUGUCAAAUACGAAUACAGUGAUUACAAAGUAAACACUAUAAAAUUCCUUUAAAUAAAGGACUACUUAACGUUUGAUCAUUGAUAGGCAUGUAAAAAGCUAUCCUCACGGUCAUUAGCAGUUAGCUGUUAGCACGUUAGCUACACAACAAUUCCAGCCACCCUCCUCCAGGGAACGAACUGUAAAUUGCUCUCCGCCGGGCGGUUUGCCGAUCCGCAAAGAAACUCGACAACCGGGUCGUCAUGUCAAAUAAUCCAGGCUAGUUAUGUGUGAUUUUCCACUUCGAAGACUUUGAAACAUCCCUCGGUUCGGGUUAGCAUGUCGGCUAGCUGUCACUCCUUCUGGUCUGUUUACAUUCUCCGAAGCCGGGGAAGGGAAAUGACAUAUGUCCGAUUUAGGUGUCAUAAAAUAUCGUUCGGCAGGUGUGACAGUAAAGGUAAAGUCGACUGUUUUGACCAUUAUGGAGUAAUUUUGCCAUGUCGUCUUGAAUAAAUGGAUUUUUAUUAUUUUAUAUUCCAUUUAGCAUAAGUUAUUUGUCAUGACCAUGCCAUUUAUUUAGCAAUUGGGGAAAGUACUUUGGUAAAAAGAAUAUCCUGUAAAAAAUAUUGAAGUAAAGAGACAGAAACAAUGACAUUUUGCCGCUCUCUUCGUCGCGUUUUCCUCAUUGUGAAUAGUUCCCCCUCGACGGGCUGACUGGUCCUUCUCAAGCCAUUUAUAUAGCUAUUGGGGAAAAUACUUGGAUAAAAAGAAUAUCCUGUAAAAAUAUUGUGAGUAGAGAGACUGAAACAAUGACAUUUUGCAGCUCUCUUCGUCUCGUUUUCCUCGUUCUGAACAAUUCCCCCUCAAUGGGCUGAAUAGUAAAACCGAUGAGCCUAGUCUACCGCUGACGUCAUCCACCUGUUGGGGACGCUAAAGCCCUAUAAUUGUAGGCGUGGCUAACCGGCAGAUUAAAAGACUAAUUUCUCGUCAUCUGCGCUUUGCUAAAUUGUUGUAUAUGGUCGAAUCGUCUCAAAAUAUGAUUCUAAUUCACAUAAUAAUGCCAUUUAAGACUUUUUUUCUGGUGUCGUAUGCUCUU